GGAGGGCGAAGCCUGAUCCAGCCAUGCCGCGUGGUGUGAAGAAGGCCUUUUGGUUGUAAAGCUCUUUUUGGAGGAGGAAGUACUUAGAUUAAUACCUGUGAUAGUGGACGUUACUCUAAAAAAAAGCACCGGCUAACUCUGUGCCAGCGGCCGCGGGUAAUACGA
rnacentral:rRNA from 1 species